rnacentral:lncRNA from 1 species
UCAAUUUAGAUCUCGAAUUUUCAUAAAUAUAUCAAUUUAAACACUUAACUUUCAUAAGUAUGUCUAAAGAAGGCAUGAUAAAUGAUUUAAGUUGAUACACUUAUGACUUGGUUUUUAGUUUGCAUGUGAGAUGAUUAUUGUGUCUUUAAUCUUCUUGUAAUUACUAAAUUCUUGUUGAAUACAAGCUUUCCUAUUGCUUGUCUGAGUAUAAAGUAAAUGUAUGUCUAAUCUAAUAAUUUACACUAGAGUUUCUGUAAAAGGUAGAAGAAUGAUUGGGAGAUGGAUGAACUAACUUGUAAUUGAGGGAAAGUGAAGGAAUAAUGUCUCUGUGUUAUUAGGCGAUUGAAUCAUGUGGACAACCCUGAUGCAAUAGAAAUCAAAUAACUGGCUUUUAAUUAAGGCAAACACCUCUUAUUGCUUUGAAUGCCGCACUUGCUCACCUCUUGAGAUGCAAAUGAUAUAACUUUGUUAAGUGAUUGCUAUCUAUAAGUGGUUGCUUGUAAAACACAUAUUAUCUCUCUUUUAAUCACCAAGGUGAAGUUUGUCUCCAAACUCCUCCUAGCAUGCAUUAGCUAUGUUCUUGCUACUUGUUCUUGCUACUUGUUCUCUCAAGUAGUUAGCGAAAAACGCUAGACAAGAAAUGGAGUAUUGCUCAACUAACAUGAUAAAUCUUAUAAUAAGCUAAACUUCUUAUCAAGAACUUAUCACAAGCCUAAGCUGCUUAUAACACUUUGAUAGAUGAACAGUAAAUGAAUGAUGAAUUGAAGGAGGAUGAAUAUGCAAUGUAUUCAAGAAUGUAGACCUUCGGCCACUGUACAAUAUGAACAUAAUAUAUUAUAAUGAAAUGCAAAAAUGAAAAGCAAAGAGGGAAGGAUAUUACAAGUUAAGAAAAAGGAACGGUGAACUCUUUCUUUAAUCUCUCUAAGCUCUCAUUUACAAGAUUGACUGGAGAAGAAUGUGGAAGCUUUUACAGAAGGUGAAAAAGCUAGUCUUUCCCAUCGUGUUCAAUGAAGCUCUUUAGGUUCUAGACCUUUCAUUUAGACGUCUUGUCCCUCCCCUUUUGUUUGGUGUUAAAUGAGGCUUUAUAUAGAAAACUUUUGGUGGGAAGCUUCUAUUCUUUUAAUCAUGUCAACACCGAUUGCUUUCUCAUUAUUCUUCUAAUUUAGUCGACACCGAUUAUCAGCAUCGCUGGCAGCCUUGUUAAGUCAUAUCGAUUCCAACUGUCAUUCUUGUCUGCUAAUGAAUCUUUUUCGCGUGCUGAUGUGGUUUCUCACCAAAAGAUGUGUUCAGUCACCAGACAAGCUUCUUAUUGCGUAGCCCGCGCUCCUCUACAAUUAAUUAUUUUUCUCCUUUUAUUCAUAAACUUGUGAUAAAACAUUGGAAAACAGGUAAAACAGGCAUGGAGACUUGUCCAAGUUGUAUUCUCUUAUAUUUAUGAAUUGGCGAUAAAAGCUAAGCGUUUUGACACAUUAUCUUGCAUUUUGGUUCCAUUGUUC